GACAGAGGUGCCGAGCGUUAGGCGGAAUCACUGGGCUUAAAGCGUGUGUAGGCGGAUGCCUAAGUACCUUGUGAAAUCCCACGGCUCAACCGUGGAACUGCUUGGUAUACUGGGUGUCUUGAGCUAUCUAGGGGCAACUGGAACAAACGGUGGAGCGGUGAAAUGCGUAGAUAUCGUUUGGAACGCCAACGGUGAAAACAGUCUGCUGGGAACUUGCUGACGCUGAGACACGAAAGCCAGGGGAGCGAACGGG
rnacentral:rRNA from 1 species